rnacentral:misc_RNA from 1 species
AAGUCGUAACAAGGUUUCCGUAGGUGAACCUGCGGAAGGAUCAUUAACAUCUGUUUUUGGAAUGUGGUGGUGUUUUUUCUCUUAGGAGAAGAGCAUUGCCCAUCUACCCCAUUGUGUGCAUGUCUGUGUUGUGUUGUGUUGUGACUGUGUGUGAGAGUAACAUCUCAUCACUUCACCUCACCUCACUCAUCUCAUUUAUACAACCCCAAACCCCUUCUUCUCAUCACACUAGACUGACUUUCAAUCCUCGUUUUCGCUCCCUACCAACGGAGCAAAACAUCAAUCAGCAUACAACUCUUAGCAACGGAUAUCUAGGCUCUC